AUCCUUAUUCUGACCUUGAGAAGGCAAAUGGUUAGGUAUGGAUAUGGGUAGGAUUUGGAUUGAAAAAAAAAACUGUUCUUAUCAGUUAAAUAUCUGAUACGACCUCUAUAUUAAACAGAUUUUUAGAGCUGGGAGCUACGUCCGCUCCACGGAUCGGCUUGGUAUUGCAGUACUUCCAGGCUUGGUGCACCGUUU